rnacentral:rRNA from 1 species
UACGUAGGGUGCGAGCGUUGUCCGGAGUUACUGGGCGUAAAGGGCACGCAGGCGGUGCGGCGCGUUUCGCGUGACAGCGGAGGGCUUAACUCUCCGAGGAUGCGAAAGACGGCGGCACUUGAGGGCCAGAGAGGGACACGGAAUUCCGGGUGGAGUGGUGAAAUGCGUAGAGAUCCGGAGGAACACCGAAGGCGAAGGCAGUGUCCUGGCUGGUGACUGACGCUGGAGGUGCGAAAGCUAGGGAGCGAACGGG